CAGUCAGCUCCCAGGUUGGAAAAAAAAAAAAAAAAGUUUGUGAAAGUGGCCUGACGUCACACUCCCACAAUGCUUACCGCCCCAUAACUCGGCUGCAGCCUGAGGAGAGCCAGGCGCACUCUCAGGCCCCGAAUAUAGAAAAAAUUAUUGAAAAAAAUCGGGAAAAAUAAUAAAGCAACAGAUCUCGGGGAGAGAAGGGCGGGGAGCGGUGUCGUGGGCUCUCCUGCGGUGGGUUUGUGCUCCGGGAUGGACGCUUACCGGGGAUCCAUGUGAGAUUGACUAAUGCGGUGCUGGAAACUUUUUGGACAGUAAAGAUGCGGAGCAGUAUUUCUCACUCACUGCCAACCAUAGCUGUUGGGACUGGGUGAGGAGAAGAGAACACCAGAGUGAAGGCAAGUGCAGAGACAGGAGAAAGAUUUUAAUAGUUUGGCUUACCUUGAUGUUACUGCUGGAUCAUUGGCCCUUCCUGUGAGUGGUCAGCCACCUUCUUUUUCAACAAAGGUCCUGCAACAUCCCACGUUGAGCCUGGAAGACAGGGGAGCCCCGAGUCAAUUUCCGG